AGAGGGAGAGGGAGAAGCAGGCUCUCCGCCGAGCAGGGAGCCCGAUGCGGGGCUCGAUCCCAGGACCCCAGGUCAUGACCUGUGCAGAAGGUGGACACUUACCUGACUGAGCCACCCCGGCGCCCCACGAUGGACGUUCCUGCGUGCAGAUCCGGCUGGUCGCAGGACAGCCAGGGCUGCAGCGCGUCCCACCUCCAGGCCACCUCCCCCGAAGGGCGAGCAGCUGUGCCAUCCUGAGCAGCCUGCCCAGGCGAGCGAGUGGCCCAGCGUGUGCAUCUGGCACCCUUGGGCAACAGCGUCUGGGACCUCAGGCCCACGGAGCUGAAAGGAUGCACGUGUGUGGGCCCCUGCCUCCGUGGCACGGAGCAGACUUGGGGAAUCUUGCUUCUGCCGCAAAGCCAGGAGGCGCUCAGAGGUGCCAAGAGCAGCAUCCAAGGCCAACGGGCCUCCCACACGGGCCCAGGAUGUGUCGGGCAGCAAGACGACGGUGACUGUCGUCUGUUCAAACAGGCAAGAUUCUGAUGGCCCAAGAAGUCUCAUUAACACUCAAACAAGAAAAGUUAACACGAAGUAGACCAGCGAAGUAUUGCAGGGAAUAAGCAGGCCAAGUGUGGUCUGAGUGUGAGUCCCCGCACGGAUCCACAGGGUGAAACC